UGCCUAACCCUCGUGAGUCAAACUCCGAGGUAUGGCAAGAGAGUCCGUCCAAGGCACUGAACCCCGUAUCAGCAAGCCUUGGACGGCCAUGGUCUGAAAGGACUAUGUGUGGCGAAAGCCAC
rnacentral:sRNA from 12 species